rnacentral:rRNA from 1 species
AACGAACGCUGGCGGCGUGGAUAAGACAUGCAAGUCGAACGCUAAUUUCGGGGUAGCAAUAUUCCGGAGUUGGAGUGGCGAAAGGGUGCGUAACACGUGGGUAAUUUGCCGUGAAGUUGGGGAUAACUUGCUGAAAGGCGAGCUAAUACCGAAUGUGGUCUAACAAGGCUAAAGUUGGGGACCGUAAGGCCUGACGCUUCAUGAUAAGCCCGCGGCCUAUCAGCUAGUUGGUGAGGUAAUGGCUCACCAAGGCUAAGACGGGUAGCUGGUCUGAGAGGACGACCAGCCUCACUGGAACUGAGACACGGUCCAGACACCUACGGGUGGCAGCAGUCGAGAAUUUUUCUCAAUGGGGGGAAACCCUGAAGGAGCGACGCCGCGUGGGGGGAUGAAUGGCUUCGGCCCGUAAACCCCUGUCAUUUGCGAACAAACCUUUCGUGUUAACAGCACGGGAGCUGAUUGUAGCAGAAGAGGAAGGGACGGCUAACUCUGUGCCAGCAGCCGCGGUAAU